UCUGCCUGACACAUCAGCUCCUGCGCCCUCUCCCCGGCGGCUCACAGCUGCAGCACCACCCCGGCCGUGCUGAGCGGGGAGCAGGGUGCCUGUGUGCCAUGGCUGCCCUGCUCUCUCCCGCACGCUGCACUGCAACCGCUGGCGGAGACUGAUCAUGCACCAGCCGCAGGCCAGGCAUAUCAGCUCCCCGCUUACAUCGCGCGCGCUGGCCGCGAGGAGGAGGCUUGUCCAGCGACUAGGGGUAGGAGCCGCCGUAAGCCUUUCUGCUCCAUGCGCCCCCGCCACCAGAAACCAACGGAGAGACUGCAAUUACAGUGGGGGAUAUUAACGGCUCAGAGACCUCCUCAACACGUUACCGCGCCGAGGUCCUGAGCCCAUGGUGAGGACGGGGUAUGCUGGCUGUCAGUAGAACUACACUGCUAAACUACUGUGAGAGACUACAAGUAUUCACCAGGGAGGAUGAGCCGGUGACAGUUGUUCAUUACGACAGGGAAGCUUCUGGUCAACUUUCCUGAGCCGGGAACAGAACUGGAGCAAUUGAGGAGAACUCACUGUGGGACCAUAACACCCCAUCCAUGUUGAGUGGCAGAGAGCAGAGAGAUAGCACUCACCUAGAAGACAUCUUGGCGUAGCCCCAUACUCCCCUGCACAACUCAUAUCCCGGAGUGUUAGGGUUUUCACUCACCGACUCAGAUAUUUCUCACUGUCUCAAGCAAACAGUCAUUUUGCCUCUGACUGCUGUCAUCUUCUUUUUUUUCCUUAACUAAUGGACUGAGUUGCAGAGCUGACAUCCUAAUCAUCUGUCUGACUCAGAAUCAGGCCCUUUGUGUUAAUUUCUUCUAAUCUGCAAAGCUGACACUCACUUUUUCUCGUUUUUUUCUCUGUCCUUCUGCACACCUG